rnacentral:rRNA from 1 species
UACGUAGGGUGCAAGCGUUAAUCGGAAUUACUGGGCGUAAAGCGUGCGCAGGCGGUUUUGUAAGUCUGUCGUGAAAUCCCCGGGCUCAACCUGGGAAUUGCGAUGGAGACUGCAAGGCUAGAAUCUGGCAGAGGGGGGGUAGAAUUCCACGUGUAGCAGUGAAAUGCGUAGAGAUGUGGAGGAACACCGAUGGCGAAGGCAGCCCCCCUGGGUCAAGACUGACGCUCAUGCACGAAAGCGUGGGGAGCAAACAGG